AGAGUUUGAUCAUGGCUCAGAGUGAACGCUGGCGGCGUGCUUAACACAUGCAAGUCGAACGAUGAAGCUUUAGCUUGCUAGAGUGGAUUAGUGGCGCACGGGUGAGGAAUAUAUAGCUAAUGUGCCCCUUAGAGGGGGAUAACAGUUGGAAACGACUGCUAAUACCCCAUACUCCUUCUUACUAUAGGGUAAGUUGGGAAAGUUUUUUCGCUAAGGGAUCGGGCUAUACGGUAUCAGCUUGUUGGUGAGGUAAUGGCUCACCAAGGCUAUGACGCCUAUCUGGUCUGAGAGGAUGAUCAGACACACUGGAACUGAGACACGGUCCAGACUCCUACGGGAGGCAGCAGUGGGGAAUAUUACACAAUGGAGGAAACUCUGAUGUAGCAACGCCGCGUGGAGGAUGACACAUUUCGGUGCGUAAACUCCUUUUAUAUGGGAAGAUAAUGACGGUACCAUAUGAAUAAGCACCGGCUAACUCCGUGCCAGCAGCCGCGGUAAUACGGAGGGUGCAAGCGUUACUCGGAAUCACUGGGCGUAAAGCGCGCGCAGGCGGCCCGUUAAGUUGGAUGUGAAAUCCUAUGGCUCAACCAUAGAACUGCAUCCAAAACUGAUGGGCUAGAGUCUGGGAGGGGAAG
rnacentral:rRNA from 1 species